CAGCCGCCGCGGUAAUACGUAGGGUGCAAGCGUUAAUCGGAAUUACUGGGCGUAAAGCGUGCGCAUGCGGUUCGUUAGGACAGAUGUGAAAUCCCCGGGCUCAACCUGGGACCUGCAUUUGUGACUGUAUAGCUAGAGUACGGUAGAGGGGGAUGGAAUUCCGCGUGUAGCAGUGAAAUGCGUAGAUAUGCGGAGGAACAUCGAUGGCGAAGGCAAUCCCCUGGACCUGUACUGACGCUCAUGCACGAAAGCGUGGGGAGCAAACAGGAUUAGAUACCCGGGUAGUCCCUGUCUCUUAUAC
rnacentral:rRNA from 1 species